UAUAUGUAAGGGUGGAUAGAAAGGCUCAAGGGUAACAAAACAACAUGCCUCGUGUGUGCUACAAAAUUACCAAUCAAAUAAAGAGACGACAAGCAAAAUCGAGAGACAAUACACGAGUGGAUAUCACACAUAGAAAGAAUGAGAAGUGUUUGGCUCAAUACCUCACGGUUGGGUCGAAUCAAAGAGCCGGUCAAAAAGUGUGCGUUCCCUUCCUUUGCCUCUUGAUCACAUGAGUGCAACAAGCUAUUGCACUGCAAGUUUUACAUAUCACAUACGGAGAAAAUCAAGUAAUUGAUACUCAAGUGACUAGAAAGAACAUGCCAAAAUGUUGAAACAAAUUCUAGAGGUAAAAAUCAUUCCACAAUUAAACAAGAGAAGAUUCAAAUUUAGAGUA
rnacentral:lncRNA from 1 species